rnacentral:rRNA from 1 species
UGCAUAUCAAUAAGCGGAGGAAAAGAAACCAACAGGGAUUGCCCCAGUAACGGCGAGUGAAGCGGCAACAGCUCAGAUUUGAAAUCUGGCCCCCGUACCGCGCGGGCCCGAGUUGUAAUCGUGAGAGGAUGCUUUUGGCGAGGCGCCUUCCGAGUUCCCUGGAACGGGACGCCGCAGAGGGUGAGAGCCCCGUCGGGUCGGCCGCCUAGCCUCCACACAAAGCUCCUUCGACGAGUCGAGUAGUUUGGGAAUGCUGCUCUAAUGGGGAGGUAUAUGUCUUCCAAAGCUAAAUACCGGCCAGAGACCGAUAGCGCACAAGUAGAGUGAUCGAAAGAUGAAAAGCACUUUGAAAAGAGAGUUAAACAGUACGUGAAAUUGUUGAAAGGGAAGCGCUCAUGACCAGACUUGGGCCGGGCGGAUCAGCCGGCGGUCCUCCGCCGGCGCACUCCGCCGGGUCCAGGCCAGCAUCAGUUCGCGCCGGGGGACAAAGGCGGCGGGAACGUGGCUCCCCCAGGGGAGUGUUAUAGCCCGCCGCGCAAUGCCCCGGGGCGGACUGAGGCCCCGCGCGUCUCGACGCAAGGAUGCUGGCGUAAUGGUCAUCAGUGACCCGUCUUGAAACACGGACC